rnacentral:rRNA from 1 species
GACGAACCGAGCGAACGUUAUUCGGAAUCACUGGGCUUAAAGGGCGCGUAGGCGGGCCAUCAAGUCAGGGGUGAAAGCCCCCAGCUCAACUGGGGAAGUGCCUUUGAUACUGAUGGCCUUGAGGGAGGUAGGGGCGUGCGGAACUUCCGGUGGAGCGGUGAAAUGCGUAGAUAUCGGAAGGAACACCGGUGGCGAAAGCGGCGCGCUGGACCUCUUCUGACGCUGAGGAGCGAAAGCCAGGGGAGCAAACGGG